GGCGAACGCUGGCGGCGUGCUUAACACAUGCAAGUCGAACGGAAAGGCCCUGCUUUUGUGGGGUGCUCGAGUGGCGAACGGGUGAGUAACACGUGAGUAACCUGCCCUUGACUUUGGGAUAACUUCAGGAAACUGGGGCUAAUACCGGAUAGGAGCUCCUGCUGCAUGGUGGGGGUUGGAAAGUUUCGGCGGUUGGGGAUGGACUCGCGGCUUAUCAGCUUGUUGGUGGGGUAGUGGCUUACCAAGGCUUUGACGGGUAGCCGGCCUGAGAGGGUGACCGGCCACAUUGGGACUGAGAUACGGCCCAGACUCCUACGGGAGGCAGCAGUGGGGAAUAUUGCACAAUGGGCGGAAGCCUGAUGCAGCAACGCCGCGUGCGGGAUGACGGCCUUCGGGUUGUAAACCGCUUUCGCCCGUGACGAAGCGUGAGUGACGGUAAUGGGUAAAGAAGCACCGGCUAACUACGUGCCAGCAGCCGCGGUGAUACGUAGGGUGCGAGCGUUGUCCGGAUUUAUUGGGCGUAAAGGGCUCGUAGGUGGUUGAUCGCGUCGGAAGUGUAAUCUUGGGGCUUAACCCUGAGCGUGCUUUCGAUACGGGUUGACUUGAGGAAGGUAGGGGAGAAUGGAAUUCCUGGUGGAGCGGUGGAAUGCGCAGAUAUCAGGAGGAACACCAGUGGCGAAGGCGGUUCUCUGGGCCUUUCCUGACGCUGAGGAGCGAAAGCGUGGGGAGCGAACAGGCUUAGAUACCCUGGUAGUCCACGCUGUAAACGGUGGGUACUAGGUGUGGGGUCCAUUCCACGGGUUCCGUGCCGUAGCUAACGCUUUAAGUACCCCGCCUGGGGAGUACGGCCGCAAGGCUAAAACUCAAAGGAAUUGACGGGGCCCCGCACAAGCGGCGGAGCAUGCGGAUUAAUUCGAUGCAACGCGUAGAACCUUACCUGGGUUUGACAUGGAUCGGGAGUGCUCAGAGAUGGGUGUGCCUCUUUUGGGGUCGGUUCACAGGUGGUGCAUGGCUGUCGUCAGCUCGUGUCGUGAGAUGUUGGGUUAAGUCCCGCAACGAGCGCAACCCUUGUUCACUGUUGCCAGCACGUUAUGGUGGGGACUCAGUGGAGACCGCCGGGGUCAACUCGGAGGAAGGUGGGGAUGACGUCAAGUCAUCAUGCCCCUUAUGUCCAGGGCUUCACGCAUGCUACAAUGGCUGGUACAGAGAGUGGCGAGCCUGUGAGGGUGAGCGAAUCUCGGAAAGCCGGUCUCAGUUCGGAUUGGGGUCUGCAACUCGACCUCAUGAAGUCGGAGUCGCUAGUAAUCGCAGAUCAGCAACGCUGCGGUGAAUACGUUCCCGGGGCU
rnacentral:rRNA from 1 species